rnacentral:rRNA from 1 species
GACGAACGCUGGCGGCGUGCUUAACACAUGCAAGUCGAACGGAAAGGCCCUGCUUUUGUGGGGUGCUCGAGUGGCGAAAGGGUGAGUAACACGUGAGUAACCUGCCCUUGACUUUGGGAUAACUUCAGGAAACUGGGGCUAAUACCGGAUAGGAGCUCCUGCUGCAUGGUGGGGGUUGGAAAGUUUCGGCGGUUGGGGAUGGACUCGCGGCUUAUCAGCUUGUUGGUGGGGUAGUGGCUUACCAAGGCUUUGACGGGUAGCCGGCCUGAGAGGGUGACCGGCCACAUUGGGACUGGGAUACGGCCCAGACUCCUACGGGAGGCAGCGGUGGGGAAUAUUGCACAAUGGGCGGAAGCCUGAUGCAGCAACGCCGCGUGCGGGAUGACGGCCUUCGGGUUGUAAACCGCUUUCGCCUGUGACGAAGCGUGAGUGACGGUAAUGGGUAAAGAAGCACCGGCUAACUACGUG